GCUGGGCGUGGGUGGCACACGCCUGUAAUCCCAGCAACUUGGAAGGCUUGAGGCAGGAGGAUCACAGUUCUAGGCCAGCCUCAGCAAUUUAGUGAGGUCCUAAGCAACUUAGUGAGACCCUGUCUCAA
rnacentral:sRNA from 1 species